rnacentral:tRNA from 1 species
GCGGGUGUGGUUCAAUGGCAGAACGUGAGCUUCCCAAGCUUGAAACGCGGGUUCGAUUCCCGCCACCCGUA